UUUAUUAACUUACCUUUCCACGCCGCUGAUUCGUUUCCUCUUCCCUUCUUCCUUCGUACAACAAGGAGGACCUUUCUUCUUCUCCUCAGCAAGCAGUGAUGCUACCUUCUUCCCUCUCUGCAGCAAGAUAGGAGUUCUUCUUCCCACUCGGUAGCAAGCAAGGAGGAGCUCGUCUUCACUCUCCGCAGCAAGAAAGGAGGACCUUAAAGGUAACCCUAAUUUCUUAUUUAUUGUUAAAAUAGAAUCUCGCCCCGGUGUGCGAACUAGCUUGGUGAGACACAGACCUACGACCGCACGCAAAGUGACCGCUUGUCACUUGGCUAGGCAGCGACUCCCUCGUGUGUGGUCGCACGCGAAGCAACCGCUCAUCGCCUAGCGAGGUAGCGCUGCAGCGGCCCCUCGUUUGCAGCCGCACGUCGCCUGGCUCGGCAACGACCCCUUUGUUUGCAGUCGCACGUCGCUUGGUUAAAGCAAUGACCAUGCCUGGAAAGGUUAUCAUAAUAUAGGUAUAGCGAUGACAACUACUUUUGGACUUGUUGUGCCAAACAUAAAGAAGGUUCAAUCACUUACAAUAUCAGAGUGUCUUUUUAGAUAUUUUGAAGGUGAAUGGAGGUAUUUAGAAACUCUAGCUAAACAACUCGGGUAUGGAUGAUUAUAGGAGCAGCAACUACAUGUUAUGUGACACUACAUCCGAACCUCAGGAGUGUGACUGGGAAGUACUUCGACGAAGAACUAUCAAGAAGGUUUUGAGAUUUAAGCAAGAAGAUAGUUAAAACCAAUGAGUAAAGAACAUUCAAGUCAAGAGGAUAAGUAGCAUCUAUCAAGAUUAUUUAAGUUCAUGCAAAAAAAUAUAGUCGAUAGGAGUAGUUUUGAGUGUUUUCUAAUUAAAAUUUGUUUGUAUGCGAGUAAUUAUGUUUGUUAUAAAAGUGUAAAGAUGAUAAUUUGUAUAUUUAUCUUAGUUGUUUAUUUAAUAAUAUGUUGUUGAUUGAAGUA